GUCAUCAGUUAGAAGAACUCGGAGUCUAAGAUGGUAACAAGAGAGAACUAAGUGCAAUACGUACAACCUACUAGUGACCGGGGGAAUUAGUCACUAUAGCUGACCUCGGGGUUGACCUGAGAGUGGGAGCUCUUUUUUUUGGGAAGACGAGGGUCUAAAAGAGGAUCGAUCAGAGGGUCUUUCACCGACUUGAAGCGAAGGAAUGGGGCUCACACGCCAAUAACUAACAAGAACAGGAGAUAGGUACUGUCUGCUUACUCAGCUUACCUUUGUAUUUUGGGCUUCUUUUCUUUAUUGAAAAGAAAAUAAGAAUGCAAAACAAAGAGAGAGUGAAGGGCUGGAUGAGAAUAAGAAAAGAAUGUAAUAUUGAGGAAUCAGAAAGGACGUGAUUUUAUUAAUUCAAUCGGAAAAUUGUUACAAGGCUCGGGUUUGAGGGCCAGGAUUCAUCACUCCAACUCUAUCUAGUGAAGGUUUAGGCUUUCUUUGCCUCGGACAAGCUUUUUUCUUUCCUUGCGUCUCUGACUUCUGCUUCUGCUAGGUGAAGAAGCUAUGAGACUAUUUAAAGGCUUAUUCGAGCCAGUCUAGUAGGCAUCGCUUUCUAUCGGAACCGUUAGCCUCGCCCCAUUAAAAAAGCUAUCAAUCUUAUUCCCGAAGUCAAAGUAACCCACCUGGCAAGAGUUAAACUCUCUCCUUGACGUAUUGAUGGUUCCAUCCUCUCUUAGUCUUGGCUCUGCCUCGUACUACCUUCGCUCCUAACUACCUAACGCCGAGCUAAGUGCCCUCCUUUCCAUCUCCGUCUUAGUAGAGCUUCCACCUCCUUUCAGUUGAAAAGCCAGUUCUUCCGAUUCCGAUUCCGAGCGGGAAGUC